CCUACGGGAGGCAGCAGUGAGGAAUAUUGGUCAAUGGACGAGAGUCUGAACCAGCCAAGUAGCGUGAAGGAUGACUGCCCUAUGGGUUGUAAACUUCUUUUAUAUGGGAAUAAAAUGUUCCACGUGUGGGAUUUUGUAUGUACCAUAUGAAUAAGGAUCGGCUAAUUCCGUGCCAGCAGCCGCGGUAAUACGGAGGAUCCGGGCGUUAUCCGGAUUUAUUGGGUUUAAAGGGAGCGUAGGGGGAUUGUUAAGUCAGUUGUGAAAGUUUGCGGCUCAACCAUGAAAUUGCAGGUGAAACUGGAAGUCUUGAGUACAGUAGAGGUAGGCGGAAUUCGUGGUGUAGCGGUGAAAUGCUUAGAUAUCACGAAGAACUCCGAUUGCGAAGGCAGCUCACUGGACUGUAACUGACACUGAGGCUCGAAAGUGUGGGUAUCAAACAGGAUUAGAUACCCGUGUAGUC
rnacentral:rRNA from 1 species